rnacentral:rRNA from 1 species
AUACGGAGGAUCCGAGCGUUAUCCGGAUUUAUUGGGUUUAAAGGGAGCGUAGAUGGAUGUUUAAGUCAGUUGUGAAAGUUUGCGGCUCAACCGUAAAAUUGCAGUUGAUACUGGCUAUCUUGAGUGCAGUUGAGGCAGGCGGAAUUCGUGGUGUAGCGGUGAAAUGCUUAGAUAUCACGAAUAACUCCGAUUGCGAAGGCACCCUGCUAGGAUGCAACUGACAUUGAGGCUCGAAAGUGUGGGGAACAAACAGGAUUAGAUACCCUGGUAGUCCACCCAGUAAACGAUGAAUACUCGCUGUUUGCGAUAUACAGCAAGCGGCCAAGCUAAAGCGUUAAGUAUUCCACCUGGGGAGUACGCCGGCAACGGUGAAACUCAAAUGAAUUGACGGGC